CGAGGGCCCUCCAGGGACAGGAGGGGAUGCUGCAGUCCCUGCUAGUGGAUUCCCAGCUCCUGGGAGCCCACCUAGCCUGAAGGCAGUGAUGUGCCAGAGCUGCAGCCUCAGGACAGGUGGACAAGGAACAGGAGGAAACUGCGAUGUUGGGUGGAAAAUCUGAAGUCAUUAAAAUGGAAGAGGAAGUCACAGAGCUACAUAAAGGGCAAAAAGCUCUGCAGAAUCGUUGAUGCUGAGACAGCGGGAGCCCUGCUCAGGAAAAUCUCUGCUGCUGUGGAAGGUCCCAAGAGGAGGUGGGAAAGCAUUAUACCUUGCAGUUUCUGCUUGGCAGAGAGAGAAGGAGCCCUGUAACCACCAUCAUGCCUGGCUGACCACGGGGCUGGCCGUGUGCUGUGUGAAGGGCUUGGCACAGCUGAUGUCCUGUCCUUGCUGUGGGCGCCUGACCACGAUGGAGUCCCGAAGCCCUGGUGCCUUCCAGAGGUGCUCUGAACAGGCUGUACAUACUAAUGCAGAUGCUUUGGAAAGAACACUUGGGCGUACGGGAGGCGGCCACAGAUAGGGAGGAACAAUGGCACCUCAGAGGUAAUCACAGCAUCCAUGGGAUCCUGAAUUUGUACAGAGGAAGCUGCCACGUGGAGACCAAAUAAAAAAGUUUUCCAGGGCUCUGGAGAUCAAAGGGAGUGCUGACAAACUUCUCACGCUCCAGCUGCAACUGGAAUGUGCUCAGCCGGCGGCAGAAGAGUUUCUUGUUGCGUGAUUGUAUCGCUC